AAAUGACACGUACUGGGCGACUACUUUGUUCUCGAGGACUUCAUCCCCUUCCAAGAAGACCUUGUAUGCUACCGGUCACAUUAAUAACAGACUUGUUCCUUGCCUUCCCCCUGUCUGAAAUUUCGCCAUAGAUUGCGCCAAAGGAGUUUCAUUUUCCCGCCAGAAAAUACGGAGGUUCGAUUUUGAAAAAGGCUAUCUGUGAAAUCUUCCAGGGGUAAUUGAAGAUUAUCUCAACACAUUUUAUUGAAAAAGGCAGUACGUUUACUUAAUUUCUUCUGUUUAUGGUCUGAACAACUAUAUGCAAGUUUUAUGUAAAAACAGAAUCGGAUCUAGAAAAGCAUUUAAGAAGUACUCUCGUUUUGUAAAACAGUUCAUAUAUCCUUGACCUCAGCUGGAACAACUGAAGUAUGACUUUCAAGAGAUUAAUAAAAUGUGCCUCUGAUCUCAAUACCUCACCAAGUGACUGCUCUCUUCAGCAUAUAUACAAGACUAUUCUUCAGAACGCGUUGCCAGUUUUCAUUUGUCAUGAUAAUUAGUAUCUAAUUAUAUUAUUGUAUAUAUUACAUCAUCUGUAAUAUUUCAUUAAUAAAUUAUUCCAAAAGUGAA